rnacentral:rRNA from 1 species
GUAGGUGGCAAGCGUUGUCCGGAAUUAUUGGGCGUAAAGCGCGCGCAGGUGGUUCGUUUAAGUCUGAUGUGAAAGACCCCCGGGCUCAACCGGGGAGGGUCAUUGGAAACUGGGGAACUUGAGUGCAGGAGAGGAAAGUGGAAUUCCACGUGUAGCGGUGAAAUGCGUAGAUAUGUGGAGGAACACCAGUGGCGAAGGCGACUUUCUGGCCUGUAACUGACACUGAGGCGCGAAAGCGUGGGGAGCAAACAGGAUUAGAUACCCUGGUAGUCCACGCCGUAAACGAUGAGUGCUAAGUGUUGGGGGGUUUCCGCCCCUCAGUGCUGCAGCUAACGCAUUAAGCACUCCGCCUGGGGAGUACGGUCGCAAAGACUG